UAUGUUUUAAUUAACCGAAUUCUGUUCGCUAUAUUAUGUGUCAUGUGCAUUUCUAAUUGGAUCACUUGCAUUGAAAAAAUAUAAAAUAAAAAAAUUAAUUGGUGAAACAUUAUUGUUCUUUCAGAAAACAGUUUAACUUUAAAAAAGUUGCUAGGAAUAUCUCAUUAAAAUGAUGAAAACUUCUUUAAACCCGCUUUAUCGUCUGAUAAUUUUAUCCAGGUAAUAAAUUCUGAAAAAUACAUUGUUGUAAAAAUUUAUUGUAACUAUACCCAGUAAUAAUUAUAGUACAAAUAACGUAUCGAGAGAUUGUAAGAUCCAGUCUUAGGGAUAUAAUUUGUUUACGUUACGCCUAGUAAAAUAAAUGAUACUUUUAUAAUUAUGUAUUAUUUUAGAAUUUAGGAAUUAUUUCUCGUGGAUGGAUUUAAAAAAUCAGUAGACAUGCAUAACGUAAGAUUUAAAAACCUCAUAGGAGAUGGUGAUAGUAGCGUCUAUAAAAAAAUUCGUAAUGCAAGACCAUACGGGCCUAAUUAUUUUAUUAAAAAAAUUGAAUGCCGAAAUCAUAUACUACGAAAUUUUUACUAAAAUUAGAGAAAUCGCUAAAACUCCUCGUUCUGACAUAAAUAUAAAAACUUUUUUGCGCAACAAUUAUUUGAAAUUUAGAACCGCAAUUGUUUCAGCGAUAAAAUACAGAAAAAACGAAAACUGUACUUUCGAUCAAAAAGCAGAAAACCUGAAAAAUGAUAUUUUAAAUGGACCUGCACAUAUUUUUGGUAAUCAUUUAAAGUGCGCUACGUAUUUUUGUAAAACAGUUGGUCAAAUAACAAAUGCAGUUGCAUAUUCUGACUUUCCUUUUUGAGUUGUUCAUGCAGGCAUUAAAACGAGUUGCAAAUUUAUCUUCAAGUCUAUUGUAUGAUGUCGAUAAUAAUUCUGUUAAGUCAUUUAAUUCAGUAGUUAACAAACUUGUUGGGGGUAAAAAAAGAAAUUUUUCGGAACGCGGUUCUUAUCAUGGAAGAUGCUUUGCGGCAGUCGUAAAUGUAAAUAACAAAAACAAAUUUGUAUUUAAAAUUAUGGAGAAAAUAUCAGGGAAUAGUGGCAUUUACACCACAAAAUUUUCAAAUCGCUUAUUAAAAACCAAAGAACUUCAAGCUACAAAAUUAAAUAAAAGAAAAAUUCGUAUUCAAAGUGCAGAUUCGGAUUAUGGUGCGACUAAUGACAUAAUAGACAUGCCAACAGAAACAUACGACAAAAUAAAAAAUGAGUUCUUGAAUGAUUUGGCUGCUUGCGAUAUUUUAAAAAUUCCUUUGUUAACAAUUGGUCAACGUAAUAAUGAGCAGUGGGAUAAAGAAAGAAAUAAUAGAUUAACGGCUAGUAAUUUCGGAAGAAUUAUUAAUAUGAAAUGUACGACCAAUACAGCGAAUGCUGUAAAAGAUAUCUUGUAUCGUGUGGGAUUAUCUAAAUUUAAAAAAUUACUCGAACCACUACAGUGGGGAAUUGAUAAUGAAGAGAAAGCAAAGGAGAAGUUUGAACAGAUCACAGGUAUAAAGGUAGAUUCAUGCGGCUUUUUUGUUGAUAAAGAAAAAAAAUUUUUAGGUGCAACACCAGAUGGGUUAGUGGGUUCAAAUGCUAUUGUUGAAAUUAAAUGUCCAUUUAGCGCAAGAAACACAAAUAUUAAAACUGCCAUAGAACAAAAAUUGAUUAAAUACUUAGAAAUAGAUUCUCAAGAUGAUAGUAAAAUAGUUUUAAAAGAAAAAGAUAAUUACAUGUAUCAAGUACAAGGUCAGCUCCACAUUACUAAUCGCCAAACUUGUUAUUUUAUAGUGUACACCUCUACAGAUUUAAAAUAUUGUAUUAUUGAGAAAGACGAUAGUAAAUAUUGGAACGGAAGAAUGAUAGAUUGUCUUGAAAAUUUUUAUAUGAAUGCCAUGUUACCAGAAAUAAUUGAUUCAAGACAUAGUCUAGUCGCAAUUUACCAUUACGCAGCAUAAUAAAAAAGGAUUUGUAAAUAAUAUUUCAAGUUUAGUUUUAGAGAUUUUUACAUAAAUACAUAAUAUGAUGAUAAGCAUUUUAAUAAUAAUUAUAAUUUUUAAUUUGAACAAUAAAAGUAAAAAAAAACUUCCUCAGUGGGUUGACACCUUGUCGUGGUGAGGGAGCUCAGUAGUUCUAUCACAAAACCUGUGCAGAACGAAGCUAAGUACAACCAAAGUUUUAAUCAUCUUUUUUUAUAUUUUUUUAAAACAGGAAUAAUUUUAUUGUUAAAAGUAUUCAAAAAAAUAGCGAGCAUGAUUACUCGUAUUUCAAAAUCUCAUAAGAUACGUUGAUAGCAGUGUCUACAAAAAAAACGUAAUGCAAAUCUAUAGGUACCUAAUUAUUUUGUUAAAAAAAUUAAUUCCGAAAUCAUGCUUUAAUUUUAUACCACUAUUAGAGAAAUCGCUAAAAUUCCUAUUUGUGCCGAUACAUUUCUCUGUCUUGAACAAAUGCAAUAAAAUUAUUAUCUUGUGGGUCACCCUAAUGGUGGUUACCUCUAGCGGUGCGUCCUAAACCCGUCAUAAAUCUUCUUCCAGCUAGCUACGCAUUCGAAGAAGGAUGCAUUAAAAGUUGCCUACUUACAAUUUAAUUUUUGCUUUAUAUCUAACAAUUAAGAACAGUUAACAAAAAUUUAAAAUAUCUCAAGUCUGUAUUUUUAAAUUUUCUAUAAAAUGGUUUUUUUAAAUUCUCAAUACAAUGCACCGUUAUCAAAAAUUCGUAUCAACUUCAUUAACACACAUUUUAUUUAAUAAAAAAAUAUCUAGGCAUUUAUUUCAAUCAAAAAUGACUCUUCGACCUACAUUUACUUAUAAAGAAACAUUGCAAAUGUCAAGUCUAAAUUUGCGGCUAAAAACAGUGAAAACAGUUUACACGUAAAACGUAUGCGCCAGCUCCCAGAGGGUCUAGAGCUUUAUUAAGACUUGGGUAGACAUAUGUCGAAAGUACCCAAGGAUGGGGGGCGAGCUCCAGGAGAAGGAGGGGUUUAAAGCAGUCUUUUUUUGUUUUUUUGCUUAUAUCUCGGAAACUUUUGCUCUUGUCAAUUUUUUUCUUCUUUCAAAAAUUAAAGCUGAUAAAAUUUCCUACAAAACGAUUAGAUGCAUUUUCUUGUAGGACUUACCAUAAGCGAGUUAUAGGGCUGGAAAGAAAUAAUCAUAAAAAAAAUGUGCUUUAAAGGAGAAUAUCUUGUGAUUUGAAAAACUGACAAUAAACUGAAUUUAUUGGGUUUAACACUUCAUUAAAGGAGAAAGGGGGAAACAUGGCGGUCACAGAAGUCUUUAGAGUAGUCUUUAGAUGCUGCAUUAUCGUCUUCGUCUCAAACAUUAAAAACUGAAUUACAGUCUUGUUCAGUAAAAUAUUAAUAAGUAAUUGAUUUAAUAUAGAUGUUUUAAAUAAAUCUUACAAUAACCUGUAUGUAUUGAAUUCAACAGUUCAUUUUAUCAUAUCUUCUGGGUCAUCUUCAGAUGCUGAAUUGUGGUCUUCAGCUGGAGAGCUCGAGGGAAGAAAGUAUUUUUCUCCCUUAUUUCCCACUUUUACCUUAGGAGGGAGACGCUUUAUACACACUGGGUCAUAUUCAUAAAAAUUAGUAAAAAUCACAUUAAAAUUAAAAUUAAAAUUAUAAAACUCACCGAUGUAAAGAAAAUCUUAAAACAAGUCAUUUGAAAGCAAAUGUUAAAAAGUUGAACGACCCUUGCAUUAUAGGAAUUAAAAUUAAAAAAAUGAGUGCUGCUGAAAUAAUUAUGUAUGAGGUAAUGCAAGGGGAUCUUGGGGAACCGAAGCCCGUACUGAACAAAAUUUCCGGUAUAAGAAAUGUAGCAGUAGGAAUACCCGUAAAAGAAAGAGAACCAUCUUCCUCUCCCUCUACAUCCAGAAUAGAAAAUCCGCCACCCCCACCAAAAAAAGCGAGCAAAAUUGCUUGACAAAUAUGAAACAGAGGAAACAAAACACCUCUCAAAUGCCGAAUUACAGAGGCUUGUUCUUCUGGAACAACUUCAUGUAAUUCAGUUUAAUAAGGAGAAAUUGCUAAAAGAGCAUGAUACUUCACGAAGGAGCGAUGAUUUUAGUUCUUCUUUGUUAUGGGCGUUAAUAUAAGCACUAGCAUUAGUACUUAAUUUGUGUAUUUCAUUUCAUAAUAAAAUAAACGCACUUUAUAAAUUUAA